rnacentral:rRNA from 1 species
AACGAACGCUGGCGGCAUGCCUAACACAUGCAAGUCGAACGAGACCUUCGGGUCUAGUGGCGCACGGGUGCGUAACGCGUGGGAACCUGCCCUUAGGUUCGGAAUAACUCCCCGAAAGGGGUGCUAAGACCGGUUAAUCUCUUCGGACCAAAGAUUUAUCGCCUUUGGAUGGGCCCGCGUUGGAUUAGCUAGUUGGUAGGGUAAAAGCCUAUCAAGGCGACGAUCCAUAGCUGGUCUGAGAGGAUGAUCAUCCACACUGGGACUGAGACACGGCCCAGACUCCUACGGGAGGCAGCAGUGGGGAAUAUUGGACAAUGGGCGAAAGCCUGAUCCAGCAAUGCCGCGUGAGUGAUGAAGGCCUUAGGAUUGUAAAGCUCUUUUACCCGGGAUGAUAAUGACAGUACCGGGAGAAUAAGCUCCGGCUAACUCCGUG